AUUGAACGCUGGCGGCAGGCCUAACACAUGCAAGUCGAGCGGUAGAGAGAAGCUUGCUUCUCUUGAGAGAGGCGUACGGGUGAGUAUUGCCUAAGAAUCUGCCUGCUAGUGUGGGAUAACGUUCGUAAACGCACGCUAAUACCGCAUACGUCCUACGGGCGAAAGCAGGGGACCUUCGUGGUUCGCGCUCUCAGAUGAGCCUGGGUCGGAUUAGCUAGUUGGUGAGGUAAUGGCUUACUAAGCCGACGAUCCGUAACUGGUCUGAGAUGAUGAGCAGUCACACUGGAACGGAGACACGGUCCAUACUCCUACGGGAGGAAGCAGUGGGGAAGAUUGGACAAUGGGCGAAAGCCUGUUCCAGCCAUGCCGCGUGUGUGAAGAAGGUCUUCAGAUUGUAAAGCACUUUAAGUUGGGAGGAAGGGUUGUAGAUUAAUACUCUGCAAUUUUGACGUUACCAACAGAAUAAGCACCGGCUAACUCUGUGCCAGCAGCCGCAGUAA
rnacentral:rRNA from 1 species